CCCUUAGAUGUUCUGGGCCGCACGCGUGCUACACUGAUGCAUUCAACGAGUCUAAAACCUGGUCUGAUAGGGCUGGGUAAUCUUUUGAAAGUGCAUCGUGAUUGGGAUAGAUGAUUGCAAUUCUUCAUCUUCAACGAGGAAUGCCUAGUAAACGCAAGUCAUCAGCUUGCAUUGAUUACGUCCCUGCCCUUUGUACACACCGCCCGUCGCUCCUACCGAUUGAAUGAUCCGAUGAAUACCAUGGAUUGAGAGUACGAAUAGGUUCGCUUAUUUCUGCUUCUCGAGAAGUGGGGUAAAUCUUAUCAUUUAGAGGAAGGAGAAGUCGUAACA
rnacentral:rRNA from 1 species